rnacentral:miRNA from 1 species
GAGGUGGGAGGAUUGUUUGAGCCUGGGAGGUUGAGGCUGCAGCAAGCUGUGACUAUGCCACUGCACUCCAGCCUGAGUGACAGAGUGAGACCCUAUCUCA